GACAGAGGAUGCAAGCGUUAUCCCGGAAUGGUUGGGCGUAAAGCGUCUGUAGGUGGCUUUUUAAGUCCGCCGUCAAAUCCCAGGGCUCAACCCUCGGACAGGCGGUGGAAACUACCAAGCUGGAGUACGGUAGGGGCAGAGGGAAUUCCGGUGGAGCGGUGAAAUGCGUAGAUAUAGGAAGGAACACCAGUAGCGAAGGCGACCACCUGGCUGAUACAUGACACUGAGGUGCGAAAGCGUGGGGAGCAAACAGG
rnacentral:rRNA from 1 species